CUUUGGGAGGCUGAGGCAGGAGAAUGGCGUGAACCUGGGAGGCGGAGCUUGUGGUGAGCUGAGAUCACGCCACUGCACUACAGCCUUGGUGACCGAGCAGGACUCCAUCUCAACAACAACAACAAAAAUACAAACAGAAAAUUCAAGUACUGCAGUGGAAAUAUGAUGGAGUUUCUAUCAAAUUAUAUCAAAAGUUGUUCUGGGGAGAACUUAAACCAAUUCAACAGCUCAAAAGGAGGGCAUGAAACCCACUCCUCCCACCUCCAGUAGCACUCCUUUUACUCAUUUUUUUCCCCUUCUCCAAAAUUCUAAACUGCUCACGCAUUCCAGAUUGUUCCUGAGGAGAAUGAGCAUAUGCUAUCCUGGUGUGGAAAUGCCUGGUAUGCUAAUUCAUAGUUUGGAGGAGAGAGAAGAUAUGAGGUCGAACUGGAAGAUAGUGAACUAAAAAUAAUAUAACCCACCUCCAUGCCUCUCUCUUUAGCUCAGUGCCACAUCUUCCCCUGCCAAAGGGAAGCCACGGCGCCACAACAUCCUGAGGAGAGAGAGCCUUGAUUUUUCUGUUGGGGACCCACUUUUCCCCUAUAGGAGAAACGACCAUCAAUCACAAUACCUUCCCCUAUCCUGGCCAAAGGGAGGUUGGAUCCCUAGCUGAAGGUAGGCCUAUCAGAUACUCUUGACCUGGAAUUUCAGUGUGGAGAGAAGUGACACAAAAACUGAGAAUGGUUGGAAAUCAUUUACCCUGGAGGCAAUGAAACUAAGGAAACUGCAUUAUUCACAAAACCUGAAUUUCUAGAGCUUCUCUUGUCCUUGAAUAAAGCAGAUUCUUCAGCCUCUCCUUCUG
rnacentral:lncRNA from 1 species